AUGCUUCCUCCUUUGGGAGGUCCUCUCAGACACAGAGAAAAGUCCUCAGCCCGCAGCCCCAUUUCUGCAUUGAUUAACCAAGCUAUGGGGUCUUCUGCGUUAUUUCUCCUGGGCAACAAAAUGGAUCAUGGAGUCAAGUGCUCUGGAAGCAAUGCGUGCAGUACACAGCUUUCCUGCACACGAGGGCAACCCAACAAAAGGUAUUUAUUCACUCACAGCUACCAUCUGCUACCCAGGCUCAGCAUGGAAAACUCUUGCUGCACUUUUUCUGUACAGUUCUGUCUAUGCUGUUUCAUAGUAAGUCCAGUGUUGUCUUGACAUCUUUCCCCACUUUUUGGGUGUUCCUCCUCCCCAGAGCCAGCCAUUGUCCUCUGUUAUGUUAUUUCCUAUGACACACAUUCUGUGUGUGUUUUUCUGCAGGCCAAUACCCGGUUUUCACUUCAGCAAUUUUUCUUCCAGAAUUUCUUACAUUAAGGAAAAGUCUCAUGCAGAUCCACAUCAAAGCUCUGGGAAUCCUCACCUCAGGUCAGUAUUUACAGAGUGGGCUGGGGAUGAACUUUGCAAGAAAUUUGUAUUCAGAAAACUUGAACAGGCACAGCACAGGACUUGGACAGGAUAUAGUAACUUUACACUGUAUUUAUCUUAAUGCCUAUGCUCAGUCUGUCCUAGAUGACCGGCUGUGAAAGGACUUCCAUGAAAGAAAUGGAACAGUGCCUUUUCCGUCAAAGCAGGAUUUAAAUAGGAGCUGAGGAAAAGGUGGGAGGAAGAGAGUCUGGCGUGUGAGAAGAGAGGAUGUUCUUGUCCUCUUCGCAGGCUGCAUCUGAAAGGCAGUGGCAAGAAAGAGCUUAAAUGACAACUUCAGCCUGCACAGCACUCAGGACAAAACCUGGUAUCAAUACAUUAUUGAUUGUAAUGGGAAGAGGUAAGCUUCUUCCUCUCUCCACUUUUUCGAAAUUGGAAGGAAGUCCUGCUGUUGCAUGACCAGGGCAGAGGCACACCAGCUUCAGUGUGUCUGGCACUGGUUUUGACUUGGAAUUAUCAAAUGGCAUGCAGGAUAUAUUUGCAGCAAUGUAUGUCAUUCUUGAAUAUCUUCCCAUCACCUCUCCCACUUCCACUUCUUCAUACUCAAAAUAAUAACUUUAUGACAUACUCAAAAUAAUAACUUUAUGAAUCACUGUUAUUAUAUUACAAUCCCCUAAAAUCAUAUUGGCAGACUAGAUUGAUCUGUCUGUGUAUUUCCCGUAGUCUCAGAAAGCUGUUUUGUAGCAUAUAAAAGGAAAAUGUGAAGAGCUCUGAAAAUACCUUUUGUGGUCUUUUUCUAGUUUCAGUUAUGACAUUCUCAUUCUAGUGUCUCUCCUGACUGUCGAUGGUGCUAGCUGGCUGCACAAAAGUAUAGUAUGUAAUUUUUAAAGAAAGUAGUAUCUUUUGACCCCUACUUUCUUUUGGUGUUGAUGUAGGACAUAACUUUGAGAAUUUUUAGCUCCUUUCUGGAAAGUCUUAAUGGUAUCCCAGGGACAGUGUACUGCCAUGUACAAUACCAAAACACUAAAUCUCUCCAUAUGGAAAUGCAAAAGGCUCUGCCAAAACAGGAACAGAGCAUUUUAAUGUCUUUCUUUGUCUUUUGUGAACUGCCUGGGCUUUUGCUGGAGACAACUGAUGGAGACCUCCUUUCUCGAAAGCACUGACCACUGUUCUAGUCUAAUUGCAGGAGGGUAGAUUGUGUCUAUAUGCCUUUAAAGCAUGUGCCAGGAUGCUAUCAAAAUAUUUCAUGGGCAAAUUAGAUCAAUAAAUUUUGAUGGUGGACAUCA
ensembl:lncRNA